GGAGGUUACUGUUCUUCACUGUAGUCUUUCACUGUUCACUUCAGACUCUGUGGAAGGAAUAGGUACUAGUUAGCUAGGAAGUUCACGUCAUGGCCAAAUAUUGCGUCAUUGAAGCAUUUGGGUACCGGGAUAUGACGCGCAUAGCUACAGGACUUUAGUUGCCAUGGUUCCAUUAGCCUGCGUAAGUAAUCACGCGAGAGUAUUGCGUUGUCAUGGCUGUAACUAAGCAGCAAAAAAAAAA